CUUUAUUGGAGAGUUUGAUCCUGGCUCAGGACGAACGCUGGCGGCGUGCCUAAUACAUGCAAGUCGAGCGAGUCUCUUCGGAGGCUAGC
rnacentral:rRNA from 1 species